AGAGUUUGAUCCUGGCUCAGGACGAACGCUGGCGGCGUGCUUAACACAUGCAAGUCGAACGAGAAUCACUGGAAGGAGUUUUCGGACAACGGAAGGUGAGGACAGUGGCGGACGGGUGAGUAACGCGUGAGGAACCUGCCUUUCAGAGGGGGACAACAGUUGGAAACGACUGCUAAUACCGCAUGACACAUAGAGAUCGCAUGGUUUUUAUGUCAAAGAUUUAUCGCUGAAAGAUGGCCUCGCGUCUGAUUAGCUAGUUGGUGAGGUAACGGCCCACCAAGGCGACGAUCAGUAGCCGGACUGAGAGGUUGACCGGCCACAUUGGGACUGAGAUACGGCCCAGACUCCUACGGGAGGCAGCAGUGGGGAAUAUUGGGCAAUGGGCGCAAGCCUGACCCAGCAACGCCGCGUGAAGGAAGAAGGCUUUCGGGUUGUAAACUUCUUUUGUCGGGGACGAGUAGAAGACGGUACCUGGCGAAUAAGCCACGGCUAACUACGUGCCAGCAGCCGCGGUAAUACGUAGGUGGCAAGCGUUGUCCGGAUUUACUGGGUGUAAAGGGCGUGUAGCCGGGAAGGCAAGUCAGAUGUGAAAUCCACGGGCUUAACUCGUGAACUGCAUUUGAAACUACUUUUCUUGAGUAUCGGAGAGGCAAUCGGAAUUCCUAGUGUAGCGGUGAAAUGCGUAGAUAUUAGAGGAACACCAGUGGCGAAGGCGGAUUGCUGGACGACAACUGACGGUGAGGCGCGAAAGCGUGGGGAGCAAACAGGAUAGAUACCCUGGUAGUCCACGCUGUAAACGAUGAAUACUAGGUGUGCGGGGACUGACCCCCUGCGUGCCGCAGUUNANACAAUAAGUAUUCCACCUGGGGAGUACGAUCGCAAGGUUGAAACUCAAAGGAAUUGACGGGGGCCCGCACAAGCGGUGGAUUAUGUGGUUUAAUUCGACGCAACGCGAAGAACCUUACCAGGGCUUGACAUCCUACUAACGAAGUAGAGAUACAUCAGGUGCCCUUCGGGGAAAGUAGAGACAGGUGGUGCAUGGUUGUCGUCAGCUCGUGUCGUGAGAUGUUGGGUUAAGUCCCGCAACGAGCGCAACCCUUAUCUUUAGUAGCCAGCAGUAAGAUGGGCACUCUAGAGAGACUGCCGGGGAUAACCCGGAGGAAGGUGGGGAUGACGUCAAAUCAUCAUGCCCCUUAUGACCAGGGCUACACACGUGCUACAAUGGCGUAAACAAAGAGAAGCGAAGUCGUGAGGCAGAGCGAAUCUCAAAAAUAACGUCUCAGUUCGGAUUGUAGUCUGCAACUCGACUACAUGAAGCUGGAAUCGCUAGUAAUCGCAGAUCAGAAUGCUGCGGUGAAUACGUUCCCGGGUCUUGCACACACCGCCCG
rnacentral:rRNA from 1 species